rnacentral:lncRNA from 1 species
AGAUAUCGAUAUAGGAACACACCCCAUGACAUAGACAUUCUACCAUCAAUAUCAGAUAUAAAAUCUGAAUUGGUGUAUCCUCCCACUCCUAGCUCUGAUUCUUCUCCAAAUUAAGAACAUAUGCUUACUUCUUCUUAAGAGAUUAAGAAUAUUUUCACAGCAAUCUAGCACUCUCGAUCUAUAUACAACUGAUAUCUACUCGUAACACUUACAGUAUUAUUUAUAUCUGUUGGUGCAAAAAUCCGCCU